UACAGAGGUCUCAAGCGUUGUUCGGAUUCAUUGGGCGUAAAGGGUGCGUAGGUGGCGUCGUAAGUCGGGUGUGAAAUUUCGGAGCUUAACUCCGAAACUGCAUUCGAUACUGCGGUGCUUGAGGACUGGAGAGGAGACUGGAAUUUACGGUGUAGCAGUGAAAUGCGUAGAGAUCAUGAGGAAGACCAGUGGCGAAAGGCGGGUCUCUGGACAGUUCCUGACACUGAGACACGAAGGCCAGGGGAGCAAACGGG
rnacentral:rRNA from 1 species